rnacentral:rRNA from 1 species
CCUACGGGAGGCAGCAGUAGGGAAUAUUGCACAAUGGGGGAAACCCUGAAGCAGCAACGCCGCGUGGAGGAUGAAGGUUUUCGGUAUGUAAACUCCUAUCGUCAGAGAAGAUAAUGACGGUAUCUAACGAAUAAGCACCGGCUAACUACGUGCCAGCAACCGCGGUAAUACGGAGGGUGCAAGCGUUACUCGGAAUCACUGGGCGUAAAGAGAGCGUAGGCGGCAUAGCAAGUCAGAUGUGAAAUCCUAUGGCUUAACCAUAGAACUGCAUUUGAAACUGUUAAGCUAGAGUAUGGGAGAGGUAGGUGGAAUUCUUGGUGUAGCGGUAAAAUGCGUAGAGAUUAAGAGGAAUACUCGUUGCGAAGGCGACCUGCUAGAACGUAACUGACGUUGAGGCGCGAAAGCGUGGGGAGCAAACAGGAUUAGAUACCCGGGUAGUC